UGGAUCACCUCCUAACAGGGAGACAACAAAAUGUUUAAUAUUAUUAUUUUGUCACCUUAGGUCGAUCGGUAUCUCACGUUCUUAAUUUGUUAAGAAUUUCAUUUCCUAAGUUUUUCUAGGUCACACCCAUUAUUUUUCCUGGGCCAUUAGCUCAGGUGGUUAGAGCGCACCCCUGAUAAGGGUGAGGUCCCUGGUUCAAGUCCAGGAUGGCCCAUAUCUCUAUGUUGGGGGUAUAGCUCAGUUGGUAGAGCGCCUGCUUUGCAAGCAGGAUGUCAGCGGUUCGAGUCCGCUUACCUCCACUGAUUACCACCUCUUCCAUAACCGGUAGAAAGGAAAUGUUUUGAGUUUGAUCAUUAUUCUGAACGAAUCUAGCUUCCUAAUGAAAUCAUUAAGAUGCUGGACUCAUUGAAUUAAUUUCAUUGUUUUCAGAGAACCUUGACAACUGCAUAGAUUUUUUUUAAAGACAAUAAGCAUCUUUAAUGAUGCAGAUUUAUUAUUUGUGCGGAUGCAUUAAUAACAAUUCUAUUAAGCUGAUGCUUCAAUUUUUGAAGUUAUUGGUCAAGCUACAAAGGGCUCACGGAGGAUACCUAGGCACACAGAGGCGAUGAAGG
rnacentral:tRNA from 1 species